UAGGGAAUCUUCGGCAAUGGGGGGAACCCUGACCGAGCAACGCCGCGUGAGUGAAGAAGGUUUUCGGAUCGUAAAGCUCUGUUGUUAAGGAAGAACGAGUGUGAGAAUGGAAAGUUCAUGCUGUGACGGUACUUAACCAGAAAGGGACGGCUAACUACGUGCCAGCAGCCGCGGUAAUACGUAGGUCCCGAGCGUUGUCCGGAUUUAUUGGGCGUAAAGCGAGCGCAGGCGGUUAGAAAAGUCUGAAGUGAAAGGCAGUGGCUCAACCAUUGUAGGCUUUGGAAACUGUUUGACUUGAGUGCAGAAGGGGAGAGUGGAAUUCCAUGUGUAGCGGUGAAAUGCGUAGAUAUAUGGAGGAACACCGGUGGCGAAAGCAGCUCUCUGGUCUGUAACUGACGCUGAGGCUCGAAAGCGUGGGGAGCGAACAGG
rnacentral:rRNA from 1 species